AUGUUCCUUUCCAAAGAAAUGGCUGAAAUAUAUUGGUGGCACAAACUGAGGAAGUAUGACUCACAUGCCAUAACUGGAUCAUUCCAGUAUGGCUUUCUGUUCAAGGAGUGCAUAUCCCACCUUUCUUGCCAUGAACUCAUGAUGUCAUGCAUAAUCCCAUGCCUCUCCUUGGAAUCCUCAGAAUAACAAUGGUUGACCCAAGAGACAAUGAAGGACUCCAGAAGGACUCCAGGCUGAAUCGGUGAGCAACAUGUGAGGGAUGAGAUUAAAUUCAUUCAAGAUGUUCUGUGGCGCGUGGCGAAAAGACGACUCCUUGUCCAUGCAAAUGAAGCUGACUUGAGCUUCCACUUGGCUAAGGCGACAUGCAUGCUACAGUCAGCAGAUCAUAAAAGAGAUCCCCAACCAUUCCAGUAAGUGAAACCAAAACAAAAAUGGCAACGGUGAAUUCUUUGUCACAAUCUACUCAUUAAAUCUAACUGCUAUUCUGUCUAUUCAUUGGGCAAUUUCCUUCUUUUUCC
rnacentral:lncRNA from 1 species